AGUGAACGCUGGCGGUAGGCCUAACACAUGCAGGUCGAGCGGCAGCACAGUAAGAGCUUGCUCUUACGGGUGGCGAGUGGCGGACGGGUGAGGAAUACAUCGGAAUCUACUUUUUCGUGGGGGAUAACGUAGGGAAACUUACGCUAAUACCGCAUACGACCUACGGGUGAAAGCAGGGGAUCUUCGGACCUUGCGCGAUUGAAUGAGCCGAUGUCGGAUUAGCUAGUUGGCGGGGUAAAGGCCCACCAAGGCGACGAUCCGUAGCUGGUCUGAGAGGAUGAUCAGCCACACUGGAACUGAGACACGGUCCAGACUCCUACGGGAGGCAGCAGUGGGGAAUAUUGGACAAUGGGCGCAAGCCUGAUCCAGCCAUACCGCGUGGGUGAAGAAGGCCUUCGGGUUGUAAAGCCCUUUUGUUGGGAAAGAAAAGCAGCAGGUUAAUACCCCGCUGUUCUGACGGUACCCAAAGAAUAAGCACCGGCUAACUUCGUG
rnacentral:rRNA from 1 species